AUCCCAAGGCAAGAGCUAUUUAUUUCAGCACCCAUUUCACAGGUGGGAAAAUGGAAGUGCCAGCACGUUAAAUGGGAACCAAGUGGCAAGUUUUCAAUGAAAGGAAAAAGCAACUGGAGGGCUGCCGAGGACCUACCCAUCAAUUAACUGCCCCACCCCACCCCAACUUCUGCCUCCUCUUCCUUUGUCUCCUCAGCCACACUUAACAGUUCCUCCUUGUCAGGCUACCUUGGCCAGCAUUGACUGUGGCAUAUGCACAAAAUGAAAGAAAGCAACUUGGCAGAGCCAGGCUGGAGUAGAAACCACAAAUGGCCCAUUUGCAAGAGAAGCUUAAAAUACAUUUGUUUGUUUUGCUUGGAGCUUAAAAUAAAAUUGAAUUAAAUGCCAA